GACGAACGCUGGCGGCGUGCUUAACACAUGCAAGUCGAACGGAAAGGCCCUGCUUUUGUGGGGUGCUCGAGUGGCGAACGGGUGAGUAACACGUGAGUAACCUGUCCUUGACUUUGGGAUAACUUCAGGAAACUGGGGCUAAUACCGGAUAGGAGCUCCUGCUGCAUGGUGGGGGUUGGAAAGUUUCGGCGGUUGGGGAUGGACUCGCGGCUUAUCAGCUUGUUGGUGGGGUAGUGGCUUACCAAGGCUUUGACGGGUAGCCGGCCUGAGAGGGUGACCGGCCACAUUGGGACUGAGAUACGGCCCAGACUCCUACGGGAGGCAGCAGUGGAGAAUAUUGCACAGUGGGCGGAAGCCUGAUGCAGCAACGCCGCGUGCGGGAUGACGGCCUUCGGGUUGUAAACCGCUUUCGCCUGUGACGAAGCGUGAGUGACGGUAAUGGGUAAAGAAGCACCGGCUAACUACGUG
rnacentral:rRNA from 1 species